AAUCAUAGCCCGCCUUCACCAACACGCAUACGCAUACACCAAAGGAACGACACAGACCCUGACACAGACACUCACGCACACAUACUCUGGUUCUCCACUGCUUUCACGUGCAUUCCCAUCGACUCCGCGUAGCGCUGGCUGCGCCACGAUGAGCGUGAACGUCCCAGUGCCGGUAGCACCAGGACGUCUCACUGUCUGCUGAGUCGGGGAGGGAGGGAGGGAGAGAGAGAGAGAGAGAAAGAGAGAGAGAGAGAGACCAUCUUCUCUCUCACACAUUACAUCUUCCCUUUGCUUGGAAGAGACUGCAGCACAAGCCGUUUGUUUUUGCAUCUUCUUUAUUCAUAACCUUCCUGCUCCUCUUCUUGCGGCAUCCUUCCGUUAUUUUCAUUUAAAGGGCAGACCGGAGAGCCCGGUCGUGAUUUUGUGGAAAUACAUAUUUUUUCCUGCUGGGUGUUGGUAGCGCGCAGUUGGUGCGCGCUUCUGCAAAUUCCGGUGAAUGGUGGAUCUGGCAAACAUGGAGACCGUGGAGAAGGAAUGCGGGGCCCUCGGGGGUCUAUUCCAGGCCAUUGUCAAUGACAUGAAGUGCUCCUAUCCUGUGUGGGAAGACUUCAGCGCCAAGGCCACCAAGCUGCAUUCCCAGCUCAGAACUACCGUUCUAGCAGCUGUGGCCUUCUUGGAUGCCUUUCAGAAGGUUGCAGACAUGGCUACCAACACCAGAGGGGCAACCAGAGAUAUCGGUUCAGCUCUGACCAGGAUGUGUAUGAGGCAUCGCAGCAUUGAGGCCAAACUUCGUCAGUUCACCAAUGCUUUGAUGGAGAGUUUGAUCACUCCACUCCAGGAUAAGAUUGAGGACUGGAAGAAAACAGCCAACCAGCUGGACAAGGAUCAUGCCAAAGAGUACAAGAGGUCACGCCAUGAGAUUAAGAAGAAGUCAUCUGACACCAUAAAACUACAGAAGAAGGCUCGUAAAGAGAUCCAGGGGCGGGGAGACCUGCAGCCUCAGCUGGACAGUGCGAUGCAGGAUGUAACCGACAUGUGCCUGUUGAUGGAGGAGACAGAAAAACAGGCAGUGCGCCGUGCCUUGGUGGAGGAGAGGGGCCGCUUCUGUACUUUCAUUGGCUUCCUUCAGCCUGUUGUGAAUGGAGAAAUUGCUAUGCUGGGAGAGAUCACGCACCUCCAGGCCAUCAUUGAUGACCUCACUGUGUUGACAACUGAUCCUCACAAACUGCCUCCUGCUAGUGAACAGGUAAUAAAGGAUCUGAAGGGGUCAGAUUACAGCUGGUCCUAUCAGACCCCUCCAUCAUCGCCAAGCAGCUCUGGCUCACGCAAGAGCAGCAUGUGCAGCAGCAUCAACAGCGCCCACAGUAGUGCCUCCCGGUCAUCAGGUGGGGGGAGUAGUGGUGGUAUUGGUGUUGGUGGUGGAGGCUCCCAACCCCACUCACCCACCUCCUCCUCCUAUCGCUACCGCAGCAGCCUACCACACCAGCCACCGCCACCAGGGGGCAUUGCAGCACAUCGCCUCAGCAGUGUCUCUUCCCAUGAUUCGGGCUUUGUGUCCCAGGAUGCAAAUAUCUACUCUAAACCUCCCUCGCCCAUGCCCUCGGACAUCACUAGCCAGAAGUCAUCCAGCUCAGCAUCAUCAGAAGCCUCAGAAACAUGCCAGUCAGUCAGUGAAUGCAGUUCCCCCACCACUGAUUGGUCCAAAGCAGGUCAGUAUGAGCAGCCAGUAGCUGCAGCAGCAGUUCAAAGAAGAAAGGAACCUACUGAUAGGCUGAGGGAAAACGAGGCAUCGCCGAGCGCCCAGGGCCACGCUGGGCCAUCACACUGUGAUGAUGGGCAGAGACCCAGAAUGAUGCCAGCUACUAUUGCUGCCAAGCAUGGAGAGGAGGUCUCACCAGCAGCCAGUGACCUGGCCAUGGUGCUGACCAGAGGGCUUAGUAUGGAGCAACAGAAAAGCAGCAGAGACUCCCUGCAGUACUCCAGUGGAUACAGUACAGAGACUACAACCCCCUCCUGCUCUGAGGACACAAUCCCUUCACAAGGUUCAGAUUAUGACUGCUACUCAGUGAACGGUGAUGCUGAAGGUCUAGAUACAGGGCAAACAGAGUUCGACAAGUCCUCCACCAUUCCCCGCCACUCCAACAUUGCCCAGAACUACCGACGCAUGAUCCAAACAAAGAGACCAGCCAGCACAGCUGGCCUACCAAGUGGAGUUCUUGGUCCUGGGGCUCAUGGGAUACCAGGGCAACCUGGUGGAGCUGCUGGAGGUGGAUCAGGCACUCCAGGCACUGCCACCAUCAGACGAACCCCAUCUACUAAACCAGGUGUGAGGCGUACACUAUCCAAUGCGGGGCCCAUCCCCAUCCGUCCACCCAUUGUGCCUGUAAAGACACCCACUGUUCCUGGAGAUUCACAUUCACCUGGCACAAGUGCUGGUGGGUAUGCAGGUGGUGUGCCCGUGCGUGUAGGCAGUGAGGAGUGUGUGUUCUUUACUGGAGUUGAGGAUACACAGGGAGCGCUUGAUUAUGUGAAGGCAUCACCCAAGCGCCUCAGCCUGCCUAAUACUGCCUGGGGAUCAGGGGCUGCAUUAGAGGUCUACGCCCAGCAGCAUGGGGCCCUUGCAAUGGGAACAGGCUCAGGGGCCGGAUCAGAGGAGGAUCAAAUGAUCGCGGCCAAUCGACACAGCCUAGUGGAGAAGAUCGGCGAGUUGGUAGCCAGUGCACAUGCCCUCGGAGAAGGGCAGUUCCCUUUCCCUGCCCUCCCUGAUGACCCAGCUCCACAACCAUCUGGCCCCACUGACACUCAGACAGGGACAGAGGGGGCAGAGGGGUCUGGUGAUAUGUUGACCACCAUCAGGAGAGGAGUCCGCCUUCGCAAGACCGUAUCCAAUGAUCGCUCAGCACCGCGCAUCUUGUGAUUGGAGGAGAAACAGGAAAAGGAUGAUACUUGUCAGCCAAAAGGGAGUCAGGGAUGGAAACUUGCAGAAAAAGCAGAUAAGAUUUAAAAAGGCAAAGAAAAUGAAAGACCGGGUUCUGUCCUGUUUGCCAUCUUACACCCUUCCCCAUCCUCUCCUCCAACUAACCCAGCCGUCUAAUCCCAGAUGAAAGACUGAUGACUGAAGGAGGGGCCACUGGAGGCGAGAAAAGGGGGUCAGAGUGCCAUGACUAGCUGGAUUUGAACCCAGGCUGUGUCAGCAGCAACACACUGUACUUAAAGCCCACUGACCUGAAGCUUUGGUAUUAGCACGGGGAGCUAACAAACCAGGGGACUCCUCUGGAUACUAAUGUUAGUCUUUUUAAAAAAAAUACUGUUGGCAUUGAACCAUGCUAGUGCCCCCUUCCCCUCUCUCUCUGUGUGUAGUGUGUGCGCGCAUUCACGUGUAUGCAUGUGGGCAAAUGUUAAAUAGGAACAGGUGUGCAUAUGUCUUUGACAGUGUGUGUGUGUGUGUGUGUUUGUGUGAGGGGGGUGGGUAGAGCUCUGCUGCAGGACAGCUGGUUACCAAGUGAGGGCAGGGCUUUUCUCCUGUGUGUUGUGCGUGUGUUCUUGUUAAUAUCGUGCCGUCAUUUACCUUGUUACCACUGUAUGAGAAGUUAUGAGAAGUAAUCCAGGCAUAUAGAUUUAUUCAUAUAUAUUUUCUAGAACCAGAGAGAAAAAGUUAAAUCAGAAAUGGAGCAAUAAAUGUGUUUUAUUUUCUUGUUUGGAAGAAAUGCAUCAAUGGAGGAUGGUAAGUUCUCCUUUGUCACAUUCAGGCAAUCAUCAGGAAUGCUAAAUUACACAUCCACUGUGAAUUCAUGCCUAGCUGGUUUUGGCGUGGCUCUCUCUCUGUCCCUGUCUCUUUCUGAGGGAAUAAAUGGAUUACAAAAAUGUCGGAAAAAAAAAGGAAAACUGUAAGCACUUUGCAGAGUAUGUACAGUAGCCACUAGGUGUUGCUGUGGUCACACUGUAUGAUAAGGAGAGUUCAGGUGAGUGAGGUGGUUGCCCAUAAGACUGUCCUGAGUAAAUUAUUUUAUUUGUAGAAGACAGGGAAAGACAAAGAGGAAGUGUUAAUACUUGAGGAUUUGGAGUGCUUGGUGAAAUGAGUGAUGGGUAAAGAAAGUAGAGCAAAAUAUCUAAAAUUGGGUUGGAUGUCAGCAAGCCAUUUUCUGCUAUGGACUGUGAAUAGUACUGAAGCUUUUUAUGAUAGAGUUGGAGUGGUAUCUGAAGAACUGAGCAUGCAAUGCAAAAUACACUACACAUUUUGGUCAGACUAUAUUUAGAUAUACAGUAGGAUUUAAAAGGUCCGUUUCCCCAAAUGAGAAGCCUGAUAGAGUUACAAUUUCUGCCUCCUCCCCAUAACAAUAGAAGUGAAUGUAAUGUUGUUUGUGGUGCUCAUAGCAUAAAAAACUACAUUUAAAAGCAGCUACCUGUUUUCCCAGAGACAACAGCCCAUUUAGUUCCAGCAUCUACUUGGACUGUUUUCAUUAGCACUACUUUCUACUGUAGAAAUAGUGCAUCAAAACCUGUUGAUAACACAAGCAUAUGGAUUACAUAGAGAAACAAGGACACUGUUUAAGGGAAAAAACACAAUACUGCAGAAUAUUUAAAUGCCAUUUUCACUACUGUGAGCAAUACAAAUUAAAUUCAUUUUCAUUGUACUGGAGUGGAAGUAGACAUGUCAAAACCUGUAUGAAUACAACCAAAACUAUCAAGAUGCCUAGAUCUAGAGAUACAAUAAGUAAGACAAUAUGUAUAUUUGGGUUCACAGACAUGUACAUAUACAUCAACAAUGGACCAGAAAUGCAUUUGCCUGUGUAGGUUUCGCUCAUGUGCAAAUAUAGCUUUACCUAUAAAUACUGUAUAUUUUGCAUUGUGAGUUCAGCAAAGUUAAGCCUUAAACAUAGUUGAACAAGUCUUUUGCCGUUUCUUCCUUUAUCGAAUUAACAACAGAACUAUUGUGUUUUACCACUCAUAGAAGUACUACUGAGGAUUAUAAUUGCAAUAAUGCUACCAUAGGAGCCAAAAGAUUAUGAAACACAUAGAGAAGCCAUGAAUAUUUGGUUGCUAAAAAUGUUGGACAGUAACACGCAUCACUUAAAUAUGUUAUUCUAACAACUUUUUUCUUAGUGAAGAGUAAGCAGGUGCAAAUUGGUUAACAUUAGCUGUUGAUGGUCUUUCUGGUUCUCAAUGAAUGUAGUUCCUGUGAUCUUGCUGUUUAAAAAAAAAAUCACCAGGCUACUCCAGUAAGGUUCAGCUCAGUGCAAGUAGCCCAGCUCAUUUUAGGGCAUGGCUGUAGGAGAAAGGAUUAUUUAUGGACAUUAAGAUAAGAGAAAAGAUGAGGUGUGUUUGAUGUGUUUGCUGGAGACAGAGAAUCAGCAGGCUUUCACUGGAAGUUUGAAGCUGACAGAGAGAGGAGUGGACGGAGCAUUUCACUGCCUGUUCAUACAAUAUGUACUGUAAGUGCGGUCAAUGAGAGUCAGGCACACGGGCUUGUUGGGUUUGCUAGAAACUAUUAUAUUGACUGUUGAGUUUUAUUUUUUUCAUUCUGCAUUACUGUUUGAACAUUUAGUCUUACUUUUAAUUAAUAUAAAAAAAGAAGAAAAAUACUCCAACUGUAACACAAACUACUAAGCUGUGUAACAUAUGGAUGUAGGGUGUGUGAGCUGAGAGUGAGUGUGUGUCUGUUUGGCUGUUGAAAUGUAGACUAGUGAACUCUUCAUCAGCAUAUCUGUAAUGCUCUUCUAGCAGUGACCUGAACAUAGACAGUGACAUUAGUGAUCUUACAGGCUCUUUUUAUGUCAUCUUAUUUAUUUUUUUGUCUGGAGGAGCUACUGUAUGUGUGUUGUUGUGUCAGGUGAAUCUGACUGGGUGAGAGGGUGGAAGGGGAAAGCAGCGGGCUUGGACUCCAAGAAACAUUUUGGGUGAGAAAAUGUUCAUCUUAAGGGUUCGUGUAAGACCACCUGUAGAGGUCACACUGUACAUGACUACACAUACUGAGUGUUCUACAAGGUAAUGGAUGACAUCAAACUGUACGUGUUUGACUUGUUUGAGCUAUUGCAAUGUCAGAACUUUGUUCUUGUACAACUGAAUGAAGAUUCCUGUUUAAAUAGUACAAAAGCAAUACUGGGGUAGUGUGCAUGUAAGUACAUUCACAGUGAUGUUCCAGUGUGGGUCUGUUAAAGGAAAAUACCACUGUUUUGUCCACUCUGGGAUACUUGUGUUUCCUAUUUAAACCUUUUCUACAUUGGCCCUGAUGUUAUGAUUUGGAGUUUGGAGACACUUAACCAUACAUUCUUGGACACCGCUAGAGCUAAGUACACUAGUCUGAAUGUCUACUGUGGUUUAUGUUUAUUAUUUAUAGUGAAAACGAAGCAACUGAAUUCACUGCCAAUUCUCUAGUGUGGAUUAUUGCUUAAACAAAGGGUUUAUAAUGUUGCAGAACAGACACCCUGCUUAUUCCAAAUUAUGGAUAUCAGCUCAGGACAUGAUAAGGAUUCUAAAACUGUCUGGCUUUCACACUGAAUGACAGAUCGAGACAGUCCAAUUGCACGCGCACAUGCAACAAGAUGACAGGAUGAGUGCGAGAUGAGAGUAAGACACAACAUUGUUGUUUUCCUUUAAAAUGCCCAAACAAUAGCACAAACAUUAUCCAACAAAAAAAAAAAAGUCUUUAUUUGACAUGUUGAAUUAACUGUGUACUUAAAACUGUCUGAACAAGCUACUCUGCUACAUAUGAGUUGAUGCGGGUAGAAGUGGGCCUGCAGUCAUGUGGGGAAAAGCAGAGGCUACAGUAAAAAUAAGAUUUUCUUUAGGAACAUACACAUUUACAUGUGCGUAGGCAUAUGUGCGUAGACACACAAAAAAACCAUGCAUACAUAAACAAACCACAGGAUAUCCAGACACAAAAAAUACCCUUCUUCCUCAGCUGAGAAAACUACAGUCUGCACUACAGCAUGCCCAAACAAAACAAGCAUUGUAAAAAGUAACAUUUUAACAAUCAUUUCCCAAUUUGAUUCAGUUACAAUGUUGAAAAUAUGCCAUCGGAACCUUCUGUGACAUUAAUACAUGUUGAUUUCUUUUGCUUUUAGGUGGCCUAGCAAGGUCAGUGUGUGCUAGACAAACCAUGGAACACGGUACCUUUAUUUCAUUUUAAAAAUAGUUAUACACAGUAUGCAUACUUGAUUAAAGGCUGAAAUAAUGACUUCAGAAAAUAUUGUCUUUCUAUACAUAUGCCUUGUCUCACACAGACUAUAGUGCUGUUGAGUAAUAAGGAUGAAUAAUAUCAGCUUACCCACACUCUCAAACUUUACAGGAAUUGUGCGACAUUUUGGAGAAUACAUUUCACUUUCUUGCUGUUAGAUGAAAAAUCAAUACCACCUGAAGCUACAGCUAGCAGAUGGUUAGUUUUGGCUAAAAGCAAAUUUUCCAAAACAUUGAACUCCAGUGAACUUGGUGAUUAGUUUUUAACAUAGUGGGACCAUGCUGGGAUUGAUACAUAACACUCAACAGUACCAAGUGUCUGAAAGCCUCAAGGUGUAUGAAAGCUGUCAAUUAAACAACUAUGGAAUUUGUCUUUCAACACUCAUGUCUUGCCUUAUGGAGAAAGCAAAAGAAAAAUGUAUUUACAUAUUCUACUGGUUGCAGACCUUUGUGCAUCUGUGCAUCCCUCUCUUCUAUUUCCACUGUUUUAGCUUACUCUUUCUCUUCUUACCCUCAGCCUCCAUCCAUUUAUCAGUGGAUGGAGGUUGUCAAAACUUGUCAUUGUCAAAGUCCCACCAGCUGCACUCUUAUCCCAUCAAAGUUAUAGAAAAAUAAUUCUGAUGAAGUCUUUAUUUUCUAUGUCCCUCUCGCCUUCAUGGUCUCCCUUCCACUCUCCCCAUAUGUGUGUCUCUAUAUGUAUAUUGGUGUGCAUGUGUGCAGUGCUGAAAAUGUGGGUGUGGUAAUGGCUAAUGGAUGGAGGCAGUAUGAGACCAGAGUGUAUUGUUCAAAGAAACACUGGAAACAUUAGCUUGGGCAAACUACUCCCUUCUGUGCAUUGUAACAUGAGCUGGUUGCAAGGGAAGCAGCUGGAUGUCUGUAGCUCCUUCUCACAGUCAGAUUACAUUUUGAAUCAUUCUGAUCAGGCCUUUUAUGGCAUCUUUUUUGCAAUUAUCUCACAGGCAAUUUAUAUAACUUUGAUGGUUUGGUAAACUUUUGCCAAAGAAACCUGUGAGAUGCAUGUAUAAAAAGCAUUUCAACAUGCAGUGGGUCAUUUUAUGCACCGCAUCAUCACAAGAAAUCUGCAUAAAGCACAGGGUUGAUAUGACCACCAGAAUAUUGUUUCUUAAUCAAUAAAGAGUAUUGGUGCUGUCCUACUAUGCUAAGUAACAAUCUACUCAAUGGGAAAGUAAGGAGCUUAGUAAGGUUCAGCACAAUGCUAAAUGUUGUGUAAUAUUAGCCCAAGAUGGGAAGCUGUAAAGUCAAAAAACUACAUGAUAGCAACAUCUAAUUUAAAGCUAUCAUUAGCUAACUUUAGCAUCCAUCAGUUACUGCUAAAACUAGAACAAGUCAUGCUGUAACAGCAAAACUACUGAGCAAAAGUUAGUUUUGUGACCCAUGAAGUUAACGUUUCAUUUGUGUCAUUUCUUCCAUCAAAUGUUAUGAGAUCAAAAUGUCUGUUGUUAUAUAUAUAUGUAUAAUAGAUAUUACUAAAAAUAUUGGCACACCAGCAUUUCUGUCAAAUAACACACCACUUCUUUCAGAAAAUUGAAAUUAAGUUGAGGGUGAUAAUAAUUCUAUCCAGUCCACUUUUGGAGUUCUGUGAGGAAUGUAUCUGAUUUGGUUUUUUUUAUCUGCUUUUUUGUUGUUGUUCCAAUGCAAACAAAAGAAAUAAACACGAGA